rnacentral:lncRNA from 1 species
UUCUCUUCCACAAACACCAAAACCCUAUUUCACGUUUCACACACUUUCUCUCUGUUUUCUCUAUUCCUUCCCAACCCUAUUUCGCUGUUUCAUUUCUCCUACUUCAUAAAAAAAAACUCUCUUUUUUCUUCUUAUUCUUCUUCUUCCAACGCAUUCUCUUAUUGGCGGUUAUUCCUAAAACGCCAUCGUUUCACUCUUUUCUUCAUCAAUCACUGUCUCGCCAAUAGGGUUAGUUUCGUUGACAAUCUAAUUUCCCUAAAUUCCGCCUCUGAAAACCUAAGUUCUUGAAUACAUUUUCCUUAUUAAUAAAUCACGUGCGUAGUGUAGAGGAAGCUCUUCCUUCACAAUAUUGUCUUGUUUUCCAAGUUACGGGAGAAGAAUAGAGGAAACAGUGUCUAUUUUUGUUUGAUUUUGAAGGAUCCAAUUAGUUAAUCAUUGUUUUUUAAGCAAUUACAAGUUCGGCAAUUUGCUAUAAUUUGCAGAGG